GGCAACUUAGUUCAACGGUAGAGCAAAGCGUGCGCAGUUAAAUAACGUGCUUGAGAUGGUGGUUCAAUUCCAUCAGUUGCCA
rnacentral:tRNA from 1 species